CAUUCUGGGCUUGGUGAGAGUCAAAGGAGAGAAAAUAAACAGAGGCCUCCAAGGGUAUUGUUUUAAUCAAUCCUUGAAGAUAGAGGGGGAAGGGAAAGGAGAAGGCAGAUUCUGGAGCCUCCAAAGAGCCAGAGAAAACGAACAUCUGCAAAAUGGGAUCAUGAAUAGCACCUAACUUCCAGGGCUGUAAUGAGGAUCCAAUGGGAUAACAUAUGAUGAUGGAGGCACCCGAAAUUCCAUCCUAACUGGCCAAUUUGCUGUUCUCCCCUCAAAACAUUCCCUCUUCCACCUCCAUGCCCUGCUUCAAGCUGUCCAUUGUACCUGGAAGACUCUCUCUGACUCUCCACCUCAUAGAACCCCCAAGCUCCCUUCAAAGCUCAACUCAAGUGCCAGAACAGAAAAGAGGUGUUUUCUGAUCUCUCCAAGUCUUCAUUCUCCCAAGCUGUUAAAUUAUGGCUGUUUCAAUAUGCAUGUCCCAACUCUUCUCAGUAGAGUGUAACCUCCUUGUGGUCACAGACCUGACGUGGUCACAAUGUCUGAGCUAUACUUGUUGGAUGGAAUUGAAUUAAAUAGGAUAAACUUGAA